rnacentral:misc_RNA from 1 species
CCUUCAAGCAGAUUACUCCGAAGGGUGAGAUUAUCGUUGAGCAUGUCUUUUUUUAUUGGUUUGUUGUUUUCAGUUCCAUUGGUUUUUGUGGAAUUUCUAGAAUCUAGGGAUUGAAUUGAAAUCUUGUGCAUUGAAUAUUUUUUCCCCUUCUGGAUCCAUGAUUGUGAAAAGUGCACCUCGAGCACUCUGGGACUUGAGGCUGAUUCAUGAUUGUCAAAAGUUCUACUCCACUCAUUAUUUUUUAUUUGGUUUUAAUCACUGGAUGGCACUCUCUAUGUAACCAAAACAAGUAUAAUUAAAUAGAUUCAACUCUUAAAAGGUGAAUAUUACCAUAUGUGCAUGUGCCGUAUAUUAAUCUUAGUAAUGAUCUUUACUGAAGUAGCUUGAGGUAUGAUUUCUAUGUACUUUAUCUUCCUCAUGAUUCAUGUUGAACUAGUCUCAAUAGUUAUCAUUUCUGUAGUAUUUCAUUUGAUUGUAAAAUUUUGGGCUUCUGUAUUCGAUAAUUGCAAUUACUUCUACUUGAAAAUCAAAUCAUUAUGUCUGUAAUGCAGUGUUAUUAAGGCGAAAAACGACACUAAGGCGACAGGUACCAUAUAGCCUUAGGCUAGAGGCAAGGUGAGGGCCUUUUUGAAGCAAGGCGCUAU